UUAUAAAAAUAUUAUUUUUUUUUAAAAAUUAAUUUUUAAAAAAAAUAUUUAAAUUUUUAGUAUUAUUUAGAAAUAAAAAUUUUUAUUAUAUUUUAUAUUACAGUAAUGGAAUUUUUUUUAUAAUUUAUAAGUAUUUUUAAUUUAAAGUACCUUUUGUAUCAGGGUUUAUUAAAUAUAUUUUAUAUUUUUUAAUAUUCUCGAAAUUAAAAGCUUAAAAUAAAUAUGUUAGUUAAUGUAGUAAAAUUAUUAAUAAUAUUUAUUUAUAAAUUAAAUGUUAAUAGUUUUUAAUAUAUCUAGUUAUUUAAUAAUUAAAUUAAAUUUAGAAUAUAAUAGUAUAAUUAGAAUUAAAUUUAUAUUUAUUUAUUAUAUUUAAUAUAUUAAGGGAUAAGCUUUAAUUUAUUUUUAUAAUUAACUUAUAAAUAUAUAUUUGUAAGAUUAAUAAUAUCUAUCAUUUAUUUUUUUAUAAUUAUUAUAUAUAUAUAAUAAUUUUUUAUUAAUUUAAUUUAUUAUUAAAUUAAAAUUUUUAAUAUUAUUUAAUUUGUAAUAAUGAUAAAAUUAUUAAUUAUGAAAAUUUUAUUAAUAUGAAUUCGACAAAUAAUAUUUUCACCUGUUUAUCAAAAACAUGUCUUAAAGAAUUAAUUUUAAGUUGGGCCUACUCAAUGAAUUAUUAAAUAGUUGCAGUAUUUUGACUGUAUUAAGGUAGCAUAAUAAUUUGAUUUUUAAUUGAAAUCUAGAAUGAAAGGUUUGAUGAAAAAUAUAUUUUAUUUAAUAAAAUUUAAUUAAUUUAAUUUUUUAGUUAAAAAGCUAAAAUAUUAUUAUAGGACGAUAAGACCCUAUAGAACUUUAUAUAUAAUAUUUAUUAAAUUUUUAAAGAUUAUUAUUAAUUUUAAAAUAUUAUAUAUUUAAUUGGGGAGAUUUUAUAAUAAAUACAACUUAUAAAUAUAUAUAUCAUAAAUAAAUGAAAUAUUUGAUCCAAUUUAAUUAAAUUGAUUAUUAGAACAAGUUACCUUAGGGAUAACAGCGUAAUUUUUUUGGAUAGUUCAUAUUGAUAAAAAAGUUUGCGACCUCGAUGUUGAAUUAAGAUUAUAUAUAAAUGCAGUAGUUUAUAUUAUAAGUCUGUUCGACUUUUAAAUUCUUACAUGAUUUGAGUUCAAAUCGGCGUGAGCCAGAUUGGUUUUUAUCCUUAAUAAUUUAAAAUAUUUUAGUACGAAAGGACCAAAUAUUUGAAAUAAUUUUUAUUUAAGAAUAUCAUUAAUA
rnacentral:rRNA from 1 species